rnacentral:sRNA from 1 species
UCUUGAUGCGCUGAUGAUGAAGUGUGA